AUUGAACGCCGGCGGCAUGCCUUACACAUGCAAGUCGAACGGCAGCACGGGUGCUUGCACCUGGUGGCGAGUGGCGAACGGGUGAGUAAUACAUCGGAACAUGUCCUGUAGUGGGGGAUAGCCCGGCGAAAGCCGGAUUAAUACCGCAUACGAUCUACGGAUGAAAGCGGGGGACCUUCGGGCCUCGCGCUAUAGGGUUGGCCGAUGGCUGAUUAGCUAGUUGGUGGGGUAAAGGCCUACCAAGGCGACGAUCAGUAGCUGGUCUGAGAGGACGACCAGCCACACUGGGACUGAGACACGGCCCAGACUCCUACGGGAGGCAGCAGUGGGGAAUUUUGGACAAUGGGCGAAAGCCUGAUCCAGCAAUGCCGCGUGUGUGAAGAAGGCCUUCGGGUUGUAAAGCACUUUUGUCCGGAAAGAAAUCCUUGGCCCUAAUACGGUCGGGGGAUGACGGUACCGGAAGAAUAAGCACCGGCUAACUACGUG
rnacentral:rRNA from 1 species